AGAGUUUGAUCAUGGCUCAGGACGAACGCUGGCGGCGUGGAUAAGGCAUGCAAGUCGAACGCGAACGGAAUGACUAACUCGUUAGAAGUUCCUAGUAGAGUGGCGAACGGGUGAGUAACGCGUGGAUAACGUGCCUCUCAGUGGGGAAUAACACAGGGAAACUUGUGCUAAUACCGCAUACGUCCUUCCGGCCAAGUCGGAAUGAUGAAAGGUGGGGACCUUCGGGCCUGCCGCUGAGAGAUCGGUCCGCGUCCCAUUAGCUUGUUGGUGGGGUAACGGCCUACCAAGGCAGUGAUGGGUAGCCGGCCUGAGAGGGUGACCGGCCACACUGGGAUUGAGAUACGGCCCAGACUCCUUCGGGAGGCAGCAGUCGAGAAUCUUCCACAAUGGACGAAAGUCUGAUGGAGCGACGCCGCGUGAGUGAUGAAGGCCCUACGGGUUGUAAAACUCUGUCAGGAGAGAAGAAUCGCCGGGAUGCCAAUACCAUCCUGGUCUGACGUUAUCUCCAGAGGAAGCUCCGGCUAACUCCGUGCCAGCAGCCGCGGUAAUACGGGGGGAGCAAGCGUUGUCCGGAAUUAUUGGGCGUAAAGGGCGUGUAGGCGGCCUGGUCAGUCGAAUGUGAAAUCCCACGGCUCAACCGUGGAAUUGCGUUCGAUACUGCCUGGCUUGAGUAUGUGAGAGGUGUGCGGAAUUCCUGGUGUAGCGGUGGAAUGCGUAGAUAUCAGGAAGAACACCGAUGGCGAAGGCAGCACACUGGCGCAAUACUGACGCUGAGGCGCGAAAGCGUGGGGAGCAAACAGGAUUAGAUACCCUGAUAGUCCACGCUGUAAACGAUGGGUACUGGGUUUCGGGGGUCUCAACCCUCUCGGAGCCGUAGCUAACGCGUUAAGUACCCCGCCUGGGGAGUACGGUCGCAAGGCUGAAACUUAAAUGAAUUGACGG
rnacentral:rRNA from 1 species